rfam:Ciona savignyi cont_23929, whole genome shotgun sequence.
UCCUUGUUAGUAUAGUGGUGAGUAUCCCCGCCUGUCACGCGGGAGUCCGGGGUUCGAUUCCCCGACGGGGAG